GGUUCCAUGGCUCAGUUGGUUAGCGCGUGGUGCUAAUAUCAUUCCUUGCAGGGUUCUUCCCUCAGGGAGGAGUGUUAACGCCAAGGUCGAGGGUUCGACCCCCUCUGGAACCA